CACAGAUAGGCCACUUUCAUACAACAAAAAGGCCAAGAUCAUACCACAGAAAGGCCAGGAUCAUACCACAGAAAGGCCAGAAUCAUAUCACAGAGUACAUCAACAGAAACUCCAGGACCUCCAGUUGUGAAGAGGAUGAAGACCCUCAGUGUGAUAGUGAUGUUCGCCCUCCUGGGUGUCCUGUUGGCAAACCCUCCCGACCAGGUCAACACUCAGGAAGGGACAGCCCCAGGAGUACUUCUGCAGGACUUAGUCCGUUCCAAAUCCGUUCCCCCUCCCACAUCCCCUUCAGGUCCUGCUCCCAUUCGCCGUUCUUCUUCCUUAAACGCUAUAGCCAAUGGUAAUGGUGGCAGCAGUGUGUCCUCUACUGGUGCUACUUAUGGUAGCAGUGGAUCCCGCAGUCUUUCAAGUAUUGACAGUGGUCAUGGUGGCAGUGGAUCCUCUCAACUUCAACGCAGAGCUGUAAGAGAAGAUUAAGGUAUUGAGGAUCCUCUCCAGUCUCCAUAUGAAAUGUACCACGAUGGAACUCCUGACAUCACCUGUCACCGUCCUGAUAUAUCAUCAUCCCUAUUAGACCCACAACUACACUAUAGCUUCUGAUUAAUGUGCUCCAAGUUCCCAUAAUGCACUCUUUUAAAACAUGAAAUAGGAAAUGACGUGCCAUUU